rnacentral:lncRNA from 1 species
AUGUUUUAGUGGAUUAUGAUUGUUGGCUUGAAAUUAAAUUUGAUUAACAUGUUAUUUUUGUGGUAAUAUCAUUAUCAUGAUGUAGACAUUGUGGAAAAUGAAAGGUGGUACGUAAACGUCAAAAGUGAAAGACAAACAUGAUGGUAUCUAAGGUGAAGGUCUAGAACGUUAGAUAACCAACAGAUGAAGAACAACGAAAGAAUUAGGAUCUAGAUUACUAAUAAGUAAUGAUGGUGAGGGAAUAAAGAGUAUCGGGAAAUCGAUAAGAUCCUUAUCGGAAGACGAAGCAUAUAUGGGAAAGGAAGAUUGGACAAAAUGUGGUUGUGAUGAAAGAUUGGGGAAGAAAAUGGGGAUGACAAGGUGUAAUCUGGUAUAUUUGGGGAGUUUAGAGGUGAAAAGACCGAUUUUCCCUUGACACAAACAAUGAAACGGACAGACGUUGGACAUGGGGACGCAACAUGUAGCACUUUUACAAGACCGGGGAUUCAUUGGUCGAAAAAUUCAUUUGAGGGUGAUCUGACACCAACCUAUAAACACAAAUACACAAAUUGUAUUUUACUCUAAUAUUUAUAGUGUUAAGAUUUAAAAAAGGGAGUUGAAUUAUUAGUUGGUUUUUCCCAAAUGUAGCAAGAGUGAUACAUAGUUCGAGUGUUCGACGUGUAUUAAGAGUCUACUUUUGUUCACUUUUUUCUUCAAUGUUUGGUUUGGACUGUUCACUUUUUUCUUCAAUGUUUGGUUUGCACAUUUGUU